rnacentral:tRNA from 1 species
AGGGGAAGAGCUGAGUGGCCGAGCACAUGCCUAGUAUGCACGAAGUACUGGGUUCAAUCCCCAGUACCUCCA